rnacentral:sRNA from 1 species
UGGUAAUGGGGGGUAACGCGUCCGAG